UAGCCUUUCCGGUGGAUCACUAGGCUCGUGGAUCGAUGAAGAACGCAGCAAUCUGCGAUAAGUUUUGCGAACUGCAGCAGCCUUGAGCAUAAAAGUUUUGAACGCAUAUUGCCGCAUAGGGGUCAAACCCUUUGCUAUGUCUGGUUCAGGGUCAUUAUCUUUCAAAGCGAAAGCUUUAUUGUAUAAUUGCUUUUGUGGCUUCUUUAUGUUUUAAAUUGAUUGUUAGAUAUGUUUAAUUGUUCGCAUGUAUCAUCAACAAUAUUGAUUUUUUGACCUGAACUCAGUCGAGAGCACCCGCUGAACUUAAGCAUAUCAGUAAGCGGAGGAAAAGAAACUAAACAGGAUUCCCCUAGUAACGGCGAGUGAAUAGGGAAAUGUCCAUCGCUAAAUCAUUUUGCCUAAGGCAUUAUGAGGUGUAGCGUAUAAGCCGUAAUUUUUAAUCUUUUGUCUCAAAUAAGUCCCCUUGACAGGGGUUCCACAGAAGGUGCAAGUCCUGUACAUUGAGAUAAUUGAUCGAUAUUUACGUGCUUUAGAGUCGGGUUGUUUGGGAUCGCAGCCCAAAGUCGGUGGUAAACUUCAUCUAAGACUCAAUAUUGCCACGAGACCGAUAGCAAACAAGUACUGUGAAGGAAAGUUGCAAAGCACUUUGAAGAGAGAGUUAAAGAGGACGUGAAACCGGAGAGGUGGAAACGGAUAGAGUCGGCGUAUCUUUCAAGUAUUCAUUUACAUUAUUUUUAUGUUGUGAUCUCUGAGCUCCAGAUUGGGACAGAAAGAAGCAUCAUAAUUUUCUGUGAUGCAUUUGCUUGUUUGGUGCUUGGGGAUGUUUGAGGCAGAUUUGUAACCGCCGUUUUGAGGCCAGCUUGCUGGUACCCAAACAGCGUUAGCAUCUUUUGUCUUGGACAUUUGAGUAUGGCUUACGGGCAUUUAUUGGUUCGAUCUGAUUGUAAGUUACGGUCGCAUGCGACACGUGCUUUUCAUUUAGAUCGGUCCAGUUAAUGCUCUCGUACUCGCUCCCCAUGUAAAAGCCGGUCAUCUAUCCGACCCGUCUUGAAACACGGACCAAGGAGUUUAUCGUGUGCGCAAGUUUUUGGGUGUUAAAAACCUAAAAGCGAAAUGAAAGUAAAUGGCUCUUUAGAGUCUGACGUGCGAUCUUGUAAAAAAGGGCAGCAUGGCCCCAUUCUAACUGUUUACAGUAGGGUGGAGGAAGAGCGUACGCGGUGAGACCCGAAAGAUGGUGAACUAUUCCUGAGCAGGACGAAGCCAGAGGAAACUCUGGUGGAAGUCCGAAGCGGUUCUGACGUGCAAAUCGAUCGUCUGACUUGGGUAUAGGGGCGAAAGACUAAUCGAACCAUCUAGUAGCUGGUUCCCUCUGAAGUUUCCCCCAGGAUAGCUGGAGCUCAUUAGAAGUUAUACUCGGUAAAGCGAAUGAUUAGAGGACUUGGGAACGAAAUGUUCUUAACCUAUUCUCAAACUCUAAAUGGGUAUGAUGUCAAAGUUGCUUGAUUUUGAACUUUGGCGUUGAAUACGAGUUCCAAGUGGGCCAUUUUUGGUAAGCAGAACUGGCGAUGUGGGAUGAACCAAACGCGGAGUUGAGGUGCCAAAGUGCCCGCUCAUUAGACACCAUAAAAGGUGUUGGUUGAUACAGACAGCAGGACGGUGGCCAUGGAAGUCGGAAUCCGCUAAGGAGUGUGUAACAACUCACCUGCCGAAUCAACUAGCCCUGAAAAUGGAUGGCGCUGGAGCGGGCCACCUAUACUCUGCCGUCAUAUGCUUGUAUUUUCCGUGAAAAGUCUUGCAAUGACGUGUAAGAGGGUCGUAGUGGUUGCAAUGAAGGCUUUGGGUGUGCACCCAGCUGGAGCUUCCACUAGUGCAGAUCUUGGUGGUAGUAGCAAAUAUUCAAGUGAGAUCCUUGAAGACUGAAGUGGAGAAGGGUUCCACGUGAACAGUAGUUGAAUGUGGGUCAGUCGAUCCUAAGGCACCGGCUAAAGCCGUCUAGACACUGCGGGGAGAUGAGAUACUUAACGGUAUAUUGUCUACUCGGUUGCCGAAAGGGAAGUGGGUUAAUAUUCCCACACCAGGCAUGGGAGAUGGUGAUCCGCAAGGAUUACUUUGCGUGGUGACGCAAACGAACUCGUAGACCUCGUGUGGAGUCCGGGCCAGAGUUCUCUUUUCUGGUUUAGAGAUCAUGUCCCUGGAAGUGGCUCAGCCUGAGAUAGGGAUGCUGGUCUCGUAAAGCGCAGCGGUUCCUGUUGUGUCCCGUGUGCUCCACAUGAGCCGUGAAAAUACGAGGGAGGCAAUUUAAAAUCUCCUGCCUGAUCGUACCCAUAUCCGCAGCAGGUCUCCAAGGUGAACAGCCUCUAGUCGAUAGAAUAAUGUAGGUAAGGGAAGUCGGCAAAUUAGAUUCGUAACUUCGGGAAAAGAAUUGGCUCUAAAGGUUGGGUCAGUCGGGCUGUUGUGUGAAACAGGUGGACUUUGCUCGUGGCUGCUUGAUCUUCCCUUCGGGGCGGCGCUUGUGGACUAGUAGUGAGGACUGCUUGUGGAGCGCUUCAGCUGCGUACUAUUUCGAAAGAUAUAGUACUUCGAUUGGCGCUGAACAACCAGUUUAGAACUGGCACGAACUCCGGGAAUCCGACUGUCUAAUUAAAACAGAGGAGACGGAUGGUCUUUGCAGGACGUUGACCGUGUCUGAUUUCUGCCCAGUGCUCUGAAUGUUAAGCCAAGGAAACUUGAUUAAGCGCGGGUAAACGGCGGGAGUAACUAUGACUCUCUUAAGGUAGCCAAAUGCCUCGUCGGCUAACUACCGACGCGCACGAAUGGAUCAACGAGAUUCCCACUGUCCCUAUCUACUAUCUAGCGAAACCACAGCCAAGGGAACGGGCUUGGCAAAUUUAGCGGGGAAAGAAGACCCUGUUGAGCUUGACUCUAGUCUGACUUUGUGAAGAGGCAAUCAAAUUUCCCCCAGGCAAUCAAUUCCCCCAGGCAAUCAAAUUUCACCAGGCAUUUUUGGUUUAUGAGUCUGUGACGAUCCGAUUAAAAAUUGCCUCAGGCAAAGUAGACCAAAGUGCAAUUGACCAAGUGUCGUAGGGUAAUAGGGUUCCCCCAGGCAAUCAAAUUUCACCAGGCAUUUUUGGUUUAUGAGUCUGUGACGAUCCGAUUAAAAAUUGCCUCAGGCAAAGUAGACCAAAGUGCAAUUGACCUCAGGCAAAGUAGACCAAAGUGCAAUUGACCAAGUGUCGUAGGGUAAUAGGGUUCCCCCAGGCAAUCAAAUUUCACCAGGCAUUUUUGGUUUAUGAGUCUGUGACGAUCCGAUUAAAAAUUGCCUCAGGCAAAGUAGACCAAAGUGCAAUUGACCAAGUGUCGUAGGGUAAUAGGGUUCCCCCAGGCAAUCAAAUUUCACCAGGCAUUUUUGGUUUAUGAGUCUGUGACGAUCCGAUUAAAAAUUGCCUCAGGCAAAGUAGACCAAAGUGCAAUUGACCAAGUGUCGUAGGGUAAUAGGGUUCCCCCAGGCAAUAAUUAUCUACUCAAGUAUACUCAAGUAAAAAUCAUUUACUCAAGUAUAAAAUCAUUUACUCAAUUAUACUCAAGUAAAAGGUAUGUAUAUAAUAUAGGGUUCCCCCAGGCAAUCAUUAUCUACUCAAUUAUACUCAAGUAAAAGGUAUGUACAUGAUAAACUACAAUUUAUAAAAAACUUAAAUAAUUUUUUCUAUAGACUCAAGUGUGUUUUCUUAGACUCAAAUUUUUGCCAAAGCAUUAAAA